rnacentral:tRNA from 1 species
GCGGAUGUGGCGAAAUUGGUAGACGCGCUAGUUUUAGGUACUAGUAACUUUUUGUUGUGAGAGUUCGAGUCUCUCCAUCCGCA